UCCCGUUUAGCUCAGCUGGUAGAGCGCGUCACUAGUAAUGACGAGGCCAGUCGUUCGAGUCGGCUAAUGGGAA
rnacentral:tRNA from 1 species